rnacentral:rRNA from 1 species
GACGAACGCUGGCGGCGUGCCUAAUACAUGCAAGUCGAGCGCAGGAAACUGACGGAACUCUUCGGAGGGAAGGCAGUGGAAUGAGCGGCGGACGGGUGAGUAACACGUAAGGAACCUGCCUCAAGGAUUGGGAUAACUCCGAGAAAUCGGAGCUAAUACCGGAUAGUUCAACGGACCGCAUGGUCCGCUGAUGAAAGGCGCUCCGGCGUCACCUUGAGAUGGCCUUGCGGUGCAUUAGCUAGUUGGUGGGGUAACGGCCCACCAAGGCGACGAUGCAUAGACGAGCUGCGAGGGUGAUCGGCAACACUGGGACUGAGACACGGCCCAGACUCCUACGGGAGGCAGCAGUAGGGAAUCUUCCACAAUGGACGAAAGUCUGAUGGAGCAACGCCGCGUGAGUGAUGAAGGUUUUCGGAUCGUAAAACUCUGUUGUAAGGGAAGAACACGUACGAGAGGGAAUGCUCGUACCUUGACGGUACCUUACGAGAAAGCCACGGCUAACUACGUGCCAGCCGCCGCGGUAACAC